rnacentral:misc_RNA from 1 species
AACAUCGCGCACCUGCGGGAACCUGCGGAGGAUCAUUACUGAGUCACGUGCUCAAACAACCCUUCUGUGGACCUGAAAUAAAACCGUUGCCUCGGCGGGCGGUCCCCCCCAAACCAACCCCACGUGGUGGGUUAGGGGAGACCAGACAGUCCGGUACGCUUAAGGCGUCCGGCGCCAGCCGCUGGCCCCAAACAAUUAAACUCUAGUAAUCUUUACCUUCUGAGUUUCAAUAUUUAAAAA